rnacentral:tRNA from 1 species
AGGAGAUGGCUCAGUGAUAGAGUUUAUGCUUCGUAUGUAUGAUGACCUGGUUUCAAUUCCCAGCUUCUG